UACGGAGGGUGCAAGCGUUAUCCGGAUUCACUGGGUUUAAAGGGUGCGUAGGCGGGCAAGUAAGUCAGUGGUGAAAUCUCCGGGCUUAACCCGGAAACUGCCAUUGAUACUAUUUGUCUUGAAUACUGUGGAGGUCAGCGGAAUAUGUCAUGUAGCGGUGAAAUGCUUAGAUAUGACAUAGAACACCAAUGGCGAAGGCAGCUGGCUACACAAAUAUUGACACUGAGGCACGAAAGCGUGGGGAUCAAACAGG
rnacentral:rRNA from 1 species